AUUCAGCUGAUGAAUCUCAAACAGGAUGAAAUGUGCGUUCUGCAU
rfam:Schistosoma haematobium scaffold1107_10, whole genome shotgun sequence.